CAUGACAGAACUGCCACGUGAUAAUGAACACAAGAUUGUAAACAUCAAUAAGGAAGGGCACAUGUUGACACAACUUACUAUGGCUGAUACUUCUGAUGUUCCUAUAGAAGAUCCUCUUAGCAUCUUAAACUCAAGAACUGAUGAUAAUCAUGCCCUAGAGUUGAGGGAUAAGGAGCUCCUUGUGUCAGAGCUGCAAAAUACGCUUGAUCAAAAAUCAAAACAGUUGGGUGAAACUGAAAUUAAACUUAGUGCCAUGAUGGAUGAGGUUAAUUCUCUGAAGAAAGAACUUGAACAAACCCGGGGUCUUCUUGACGAAUCUCAGAUGAAUUGUGCGCACCUUGAAAACUGUUUACAUGAAGCAAUAGAAGAGGCCCGAACAAACAAAUGUUUAGCUGACAGAAGGGCUGUUGAGUAUGAUGCUCUGCGGUCGUCUGCUUUGAGGAUACAUGGUUUGUUCGAAAGGCUAAAUAACUGCAUCACUGCACCAGGUGUGACUGGCUUUGCAAAGUCACUGCAUUCUUUGGCUGCCUCCUUGGCAAGCUCUGUAAAGAAGGAUGAAGCUGAUACCACUGUUCAGUUUCAACAAUGCAUCAAGAUCCUGGCGGACAAAGUUUAUUUACUGACACGACAGAGUGCUGAGCUGCUAGAACGCUAUUCAGCUAUGCAGGCAGUACAUGGAGGUAUCACAAAAGAGCUGGAUGAGAAGAAAGAGCUGAUUAAGAAUCUCUACAAUAAACUUCAACAAGAAAAACAGGUUUGUCUUUUAGCAUAUGUAUCCAUAAAUCCAGUACCAGUUACUGUUCUUCAUCAGAUGAACAGCACAAGGCAGUUCAUGAGGUUGUGGAAGUUGUGUUGCGUUCGAUGCAGCAGGAUGCAGGUGCAGAAUAAGAUUGGUUUGACAAUUGGGGCUAUGAAGUGA